rnacentral:rRNA from 1 species
UGGGGAAUUUUGGACAAUGGGCGAAAGCCUGAUCCAGCCAUGCCGCGUGCAGGAUGAAGGCCUUCGGGUUGUAAACUGCUUUUGUACGGAACGAAAAGACUCUGGUUAAUACCUGGGGUCCAUGACGGUACCGUAAGAAUAAGCACCGGCUAACUACGUGCCAGCAGCCGCGGUAAUACGUAGGGUGCAAGCGUUAAUCGGAAUUACUGGGCGUAAAGCGUGCGCAGGCGGUUAUAUAAGACAGAUGUGAAAUCCCCGGGCUCAACCUGGGAACUGCAUUUGUGACUGUAUAGCUAGAGUACGGCAGAGGGGGAUGGAAUUCCGCGUGUAGCAGUGAAAUGCGUAGAUAUGCGGAGGAACACCGAUGGCGAAGGCAAUCCCCUGGGCCUGUACUGACGCUCAUGCACGAAAGCGUGGGGAGCAAACAGGAUUAGAUACCCUGGUAGUCCACGCCCUAAACGAUGUCAACUGGUUGUUGGGUCUUCACUGACUCAGUAACGAAGCUAACGCGUGAAGUUGACCGCCUGGGGGAGUACGGCCGCAAGGUUGAAACUCAAAUGAAUUGAC